UAUAUUAUCGAUCAACACCGAAGAUUAUGUCGUCGCUGCUCCGCGCCGAGAGAGAUUCCCAACACCAGCGGCAGUGACUGCCAACCCUCCGGCGGUCGGUUCUCCGUCGCCCGGGGCCGAGCGGGUGCCGGCAGCUCCUGCAGCAGUCGCUGGUGCAGGAGUAACUGCUGCAACAUCAGCUUCGGCGCAGCCCGCGACUGCCUCAGCCAGGCCUGAGACUGCGGACGGCGCGGGUAUCACGCCACCAGAGGGUGUGGACAUUCGCCCUGAUGCUUUGGCCUUCAUCAAGGCCCAAAGGAGCGACUCUCUCUUUAUUAAAAGCCUGGGAGUCGCUGUAUGGGGCACCCGAGCCCUGGGAGAGAGAUCGGUGACGGGAAAACCUACCAACCGCUAUGAAGCUAGGGCGGCGAAGGACGGCCUGACUCCGACAAAGCUGCAAUACGUGCAAGACAUGUAUCGCGACCACCUUAGGUCGCGAAACGAGAGCAUGGAGGAGGCCGACCUCAAGAAAAAGGUCCGGAAGUGCCUAAGUGAAAAAAUCGCGGACCUGAACCGCUCAAAGUCGAAGCUCGGCACCAAAGCCAAAGAGCUGUAAGCGCCGUGAGAUAACGUCCAGUUGCGGCCUAGCGUGGACUGGCGUGGACUGUACUUCAUUGUACGCCA